rnacentral:rRNA from 1 species
GACGAACGCUGGCGGCGUGCUUAACACAUGCAAGUCGAGCGGUAAGGCCCUUUCGGGGGUACGACGAGCGGCGAACGGGUGAGUAACACGUGGGUGACCUGCCCUCCAGCUCUGGGAUAAGCCUGGGAAACUGGGUCUAAUACCGGAUAUGACUCCAUGACGCAUGUUGUGGGGUGGAAAGCCUUGUGCGGCUGAGGAUGGGCCCGCGGCCUAUCAGCUUGUUGGUGGGGUGAUGGCCUACCAAGGCGACGACGGGUAGCCGGCCUGAGAGGGCGACCGGCCACACUGGGACUGAGACACGGCCCAGACUCCUACGGGAGGCAGCAGUGGGGAAUCUUGCGCAAUGGGCGAAAGCCUGACGCAGCGACGCCGCGUGAGGGAUGACGGCCU